UACGUAGGUGACAAGCGUUGUCCGGAUUUACUGGGCGUAAAGAGCGCGCAGGCGGUCGUUCAAGUCGCGUGUGAAAGCCCCCGGCUCAACUGGGGAGGGUCACGCGAUACUGAUCGACUCGAAGGCAGGAGAGGGUAGUGGAAUUCCCGGUGUAGUGGUGAAAUGCGUAGAUAUCAAGUGGAACACCAGUGGCGAAGGCGAGUCCCUGGACAACUCCUGACACUGAGGCACGAAAGCUAGGGGAGCAAACAGG
rnacentral:rRNA from 1 species